GAUCGCGCGUCGACAUCGGACGCUAUGACACACUCGUGCCUUAUGUGCCACCGAAGCCCCGAAGUGGUCUGGCAUAUACCUUCACAUAUAUGCAAUGGCAAGCCCUUCCGUGUGUUCCAAAGACAAUGCCUACGCCUAGCCACAGCAGCUCCCUCAUACAGACUCCACAAACCAAGAGGCCGUGGAGGCAAAUGCAGGCAGCCAGCACACCUCGAACAGCCACCUUGACUGCAGGUGUGUCACCCUAGUCACCAAGGAAACAUUUGAGGGAAAGUGACAGGCAAUGCGAACAGCCACUUCUCCAUGUAAACAAUACUCUUUCUCUCGGAUGACUCCUACGCCUCACCACGCCAGCACACUUAUGCACAAAGAUGCCGCAGAGGCACGUGCAGGUCAGAGGCAAGAAGCAGUGGCACUGGUGUCGACAUUUACCCAAUUUCUUUUUCUUACACUGAGGCAGCCAGCACACCUCGAACAGCCACCUUGACUGCGGGUGUGUUAGUUGAUUCCUGUUGUACAUAUGCUCAUAAUAAACUUCAGUAAACUUGAACUUCAUAA